rnacentral:tRNA from 1 species
UCCCUGCUGGCUCAGAUGGUAAAGCACCUUCCUGCAAUUCAGGAGACCCAGGUUCGAUCCCUGGGUCAGGAA